AUGGCGACCUCGCUGCUCCUCUCCCUACCCCAACAAUGGCAGCCCUUCCUCUUAGCACUCAUCGUUUCUGCUGUCUCCCUCCUACUGUGGACAAGGAGGAAAGGGAAAGGGCGGCUGAAGCUGCCACCGGGCCCCGUGAAGCUGCCCAUCGUGGGGAACCUGCACCAGCUAGGCUCGCUGCCGCACCGGACUCUGAGUGAUCUGGCGCGGCUCCACGGGCCGGUGAUGCAGCUGCAGCUCGGCACGGCGCCCACCGUGGUGCUGUCUUCAGCGGAGGCGGCAUGGGAGGCGCUCAAGGUGCACGACCUGGACUGCUGCACGCGGCCCGUGUCCCCGGGGCCAACGCUCCUAAGCUACGGCCUCAAGGACGUGGCGUUCGCGCCCUACGGCGCCUACUGGCGCCACAUCCGGAAGCUCCUCGUCGUCGAGCUCCUCAGCGCACGCCGCGUCAAGGCCGCAUGGUACGCGCGCCAGGAGCAGGUGGACAGGCUGGUGGCCGCCCUGUUAGCCGCCGGGAAGGCGAAGCAGCCAGUGGUGCUGGACGAGCACGUCCUGCGCCUCUCCGACUGCAUCACGGGCACGGUGGCGUUCGGCAGCGUCUACGCCAGCGACAAGUUUGCGAGCUUCCAGCACGCCCUCGACGAGGCCAUGGAGGUGAUCUCCUGCACCUCCGCGGAGGACUUCUUCCCCAAAGCCGUUGGCCGGCUCGUCGACCGCAUCAGUGGCUCCGUGGCCCGCCGCGAGAGGGUCUUCAGGCAGCUCGACGCCUUCUUUGAAAUGGUCAUCGAGGAGCACCUGGACCCUAAGCUCGCCAACCCUGCUGAGAAUGAGAAUGGCGGUGGCGGCGACCUCGUCGACGCGCUCAUCGCCCUCUGGAAGGAGGACCCUGGGUUCACCAGGGACCACGUCAAGGCCCUAAUCUUUAACACGUUCAUCGCCAGCAUUGACACGAGCUCGGUGACCAUCCUAUGGGCAAUGUCAGAGCUGAUCCGGAAGCCAUGUGUGCUCGGCAAGGUGCAGGCCGAGAUCAGGGCCGUGGCGGGCGGCAACGUCAACGGGAGGGUGCUGUCAGAAGACGUGUCCAGGCUCACCUACCUCAACAUGGUCGUGAAGGAGACCCUCCGGCUGCACCCGCCGGCGCCACUGCAGCUGCCGAGGGAGACGAUGCGGCACAUCCAGAUUGCCGGGUAUGACGUGCCGGCCAAGACGCGGGUCUACGUCAACGCGUGGGCCAUCGGCAGGGACCUGGCGAGCUGGCCGGACGGCCCGGAGGAGUUCAACCCCGACAGGUUUGAGGGGAGGGACGUAGACGUCAAGGGCGAGCAUCCCGAGCUGAUGGCGUUCGGCAUGGGGCGCCGGAUAUGCCCCGGCUUGUCCAUGGCCAUGGCCACUGUAGAGUUCACCCUGGCCAACCUGCUCUUCUGCUUCGACUGGGCGCUCCCGGAGGGGAUAGCGGCAGACGACGUGAGCAUGGAGGAGGAAGGACGGGUCGUGUUCCACCGCAAGACGCCGCUCAUGCUCGUGCUUACUGCUUACGUACCGCCACGGCCACGUCCUUGCUGA
rnacentral:rRNA from 1 species